UGAACAGGCUCGGACUCCUCCGACGGCGCCGCGCCGCGCACAGAUGAGCCUUUGUGGGACCCCGCGGAAGGAGGCGCCGGCCGCAGCCACAUUCCUUUCCGGGCAAGCGCGGCCGCCGCCUGCAGGCACCGUCCGCCCCGCGCGCCCGCAGGCUCCUCCUGGAGGCGGGAGGCGGCGGCCGCUCGCACAGCGUGUUUUCUAAAGUUUCUGCUGACACAGCUUCGCGUACACAUGAGCCGGCGCGGCCAGACUCACGCAGGCACCGAGUGUUUCCCCUGCGCCGUCUCGCGCCGCCGCCCCGCUACCUCGCCGCGCGCCCCUAACCUCUGCGUCCCGCGUGGCGCGCCCAGCGCUUAAGGUUUUAUUUUUCCCCUACUUCCUUUGGUGCAUCUCUUUCCCCCUCUCAAAACCACCACCCAAACUUAAAGGCUGGAUGAGUUGGAACCCGUUCGCGUAAUUAAAACGAGUGGCUGACGGUGGAAAAGCCAGGAACUACAGACGAAGGACGCCAGCAGGGCCGCGGAGCCCAGGCCGCCAAGAACAGGGCGGGGAGGCGGGGCGGGGCCGCGGAAGGGGGCGAGGUGGAGGGGCGGGGCCGGCGGGAGGUGGGCGGGGCGAGGCUGGCAGGCCGCCGCCAUUGGCUGUUACCCGACGCACCGAGGCUGGGCGGCUUAGCCAGGCACUUGGAUUCUAUUUGUGUAAUAGCUGCUUCUUGGAGCCAAGUGCAUGCUCAUCAACCUUCCUUGCUGGGAAAACCAACUCACAGCAUUUUUUAAAAGCCGAGAAACGCCUAGGCUUGUAAAGUUUCAUCUCCUGCCUGUGCUUUCCUGUUCUUAAUUAAAUGCUGAAGAGUCUUGUCGGGAUAUUACUUUUCAUCCUGUCUCUGCCAUGGAGACUUUGGGAUCACUGGGUGGUCUCUUGGUCACUUGCAGGUGUUUUAGGUAGGAUGUUGCAAUCUGCAAUCUAGGAACAUUUGACGACUUUUUCAAGAAGAGCAAAUGCAUUGUGAGGAUAAACACUGAUUGGUUACUAUCUGUAGAGCAGGAUUAGCAGCUCUUUUUAGAUUUUGAGCUGCAAUCUCUUUUAAUAGUGCUUAAAUUGAUGCAGAUUGGCCUUUUCCAGAAUGUCAUAUGAAUGGAAUCAUACAAGUCAUUUUUUCUUAGCUUCAAACUUAUUAGUUUACCUAAUUAAAUAGAUUCUUCAAAAUAAGUUUCCUCUAACACAAUAAUUCAUCUUAAGAGUACUAAGUUUAUCAAAUGCUUUUUGAUUGCAUAGAUGUAUUUUUCAUUGUUACCAAUAUUUAUUGGGUCCCUGUAUAGAGACAAGGUUUUAGUUCAUUUCCAAUACAUUCAGAGGACGGCCGCUGUACUCAGCAGCACGAGGCUACCGUGCGUGUUCUUUCCACUGCUGGCUAACGGUGCACUGAGCGAUUUCAGCAAGCCAUGUCCUUCAGCCGUCAUGUGGUCUGUCAUGCUAAUGAGGAGAACGAGGAGAAUUAAUAAGUAAAAGAGGAAUGCUG
rnacentral:lncRNA from 1 species